rnacentral:rRNA from 1 species
CUCUGUGACUCCUACGGGAGGCAGCAGUGGGGAAUAUUGCACAAUGGGCGCAAGCCUGAUGCAGCAACGCCGUGUGAGUGAAGAAGGUUUUCGGAUCGUAAAACUCUGUCCUAAGGGAAGAAAAAAUGACGGUACCUUAGGAGGAAGCCCCGGCUAACUACGUGCCAGCAGCCGCGGUAAUACGUAGGGGGCAAGCGUUAUCCGGAAUCACUGGGCGUAAAGGGUGCGUAGGCGGCUUGACAAGCCAGGGGUGAAAGGCAUUGGCUCAACCAAUGUAAGCCUUUGGAACUGUUAAGCUUGAGUGCAGGAGAGGUAAGUGGAAUUCCUAGUGUAGAGGUGAAAAUUCGUAGAUAUUAGGAGGAACACCAGUGGCGAAGGCGACUUACUGGACUGUAACUGACGCUGAUGCACGAAAGCGUGGGUAGCGAACAGGAUUAGAUACCCUGGUAG